GGGUUGUGAGGUUAAGCGACUAAGCGUACACGGUGGAUGCCCUGGCAGUCAGAGGCGAUGAAGGACGUGCUAAUCUGCGAUAAGCGUCGGUAAGGUGAUAUGAACCGUUAUAACCGGCGAUUUCCGAAUGGGGAAACCCAGUGUGAUUCGUCACACUAUCAUUAACUGAAUCCAUAGGUUAAUGAGGCGAACCGGGGGAACUGAAACAUCUAAGUACCCCGAGGAAAAGAAAUCAACCGAGAUUCCCCCAGUAGCGGCGAGCGAACGGGGAGCAGCCCAGAGCCUGAAUCAGUGUGUGUGUUAGUGGAAGCGUCUGGAAAGGCGCGCGAUACAGGGUGACAGCCCCGUACACAAAAAUGCACAUACUGUGAGCUCGAUGAGUAGGGCGGGACACGUGGUAUCCUGUCUGAAUAUGGGGGGACCAUCCUCCAAGGCUAAAUACUCCUGACUGACCGAUAGUGAACCAGUACCGUGAGGGAAAGGCGAAAAGAACCCCGGCGAGGGGAGUGAAAAAGAACCUGAAACCGUGUACGUACAAGCAGUGGGAGCACGCUUAGGCGUGUGACUGCGUACCUUUUGUAUAAUGGGUCAGCGACUUAUAUUCUGUAGCAAGGUUAACCGAAUAGGGGAGCCGAAGGGAAACCGAGUCUUAACUGGGCGUUAAGUUGCAGGGUAUAGACCCGAAACCCGGUGAUCUAGCCAUGGGCAGGUUGAAGGUUGGGUAACACUAACUGGAGGACCGAACCGACUAAUGUUGAAAAAUUAGCGGAUGACUUGUGGCUGGGGGUGAAAGGCCAAUCAAACCGGGAGAUAGCUGGUUCUCCCCGAAAGCUAUUUAGGUAGCGCCUCGUGAAUUCAUCUCCGGGGGUAGAGCACUGUUUCGGCAAGGGGGUCAUCCCGACUUACCAACCCGAUGCAAACUGCGAAUACCGGAGAAUGUUAUCACGGGAGACACACGGCGGGUGCUAACGUCCGUCGUGAAGAGGGAAACAACCCAGACCGCCAGCUAAGGUCCCAAAGUCAUGGUUAAGUGGGAAACGAUGUGGGAAGGCCCAGACAGCCAGGAUGUUGGCUUAGAAGCAGCCAUCAUUUAAAGAAAGCGUAAUAGCUCACUGGUCGAGUCGGCCUGCGCGGAAGAUGUAACGGGGCUAAACCAUGCACCGAAGCUGCGGCAGCGACGCUUAUGCGUUGUUGGGUAGGGGAGCGUUCUGUAAGCCUGUGAAGGUGUACUGUGAGGUAUGCUGGAGGUAUCAGAAGUGCGAAUGCUGACAUAAGUAACGAUAAAGCGGGUGAAAAGCCCGCUCGCCGGAAGACCAAGGGUUCCUGUCCAACGUUAAUCGGGGCAGGGUGAGUCGACCCCUAAGGCGAGGCCGAAAGGCGUAGUCGAUGGGAAACAGGUUAAUAUUCCUGUACUUGGUGUUACUGCGAAGGGGGGACGGAGAAGGCUAUGUUGGCCGGGCGACGGUUGUCCCGGUUUAAGCGUGUAGGCUGGUUUUCCAGGCAAAUCCGGAAAAUCAAGGCUGAGGCGUGAUGACGAGGCACUACGGUGCUGAAGCAACAAAUGCCCUGCUUCCAGGAAAAGCCUCUAAGCAUCAGGUAACAUCAAAUCGUACCCCAAACCGACACAGGUGGUCAGGUAGAGAAUACCAAGGCGCUUGAGAGAACUCGGGUGAAGGAACUAGGCAAAAUGGUGCCGUAACUUCGGGAGAAGGCACGCUGAUAUGUAGGUGAAGUCCCUCGCGGAUGGAGCUGAAAUCAGUCGAAGAUACCAGCUGGCUGCAACUGUUUAUUAAAAACACAGCACUGUGCAAACACGAAAGUGGACGUAUACGGUGUGACGCCUGCCCGGUGCCGGAAGGUUAAUUGAUGGGGUUAGCGCAAGCGAAGCUCUUGAUCGAAGCCCCGGUAAACGGCGGCCGUAACUAUAACGGUCCUAAGGUAGCGAAAUUCCUUGUCGGGUAAGUUCCGACCUGCACGAAUGGCGUAAUGAUGGCCAGGCUGUCUCCACCCGAGACUCAGUGAAAUUGAACUCGCUGUGAAGAUGCAGUGUACCCGCGGCAAGACGGAAAGACCCCGUGAACCUUUACUAUAGCUUGACACUGAACAUUGAGCCUUGAUGUGUAGGAUAGGUGGGAGGCUUUGAAGUGUGGACGCCAGUCUGCAUGGAGCCGACCUUGAAAUACCACCCUUUAAUGUUUGAUGUUCUAACGUUGACCCGUGAUCCGGGUUGCGGACAGUGUCUGGUGGGUAGUUUGACUGGGGCGGUCUCCUCCUAAAGAGUAACGGAGGAGCACGAAGGUUGGCUAAUCCUGGUCGGACAUCAGGAGGUUAGUGCAAUGGCAUAAGCCAGCUUGACUGCGAGCGUGACGGCGCGAGCAGGUGCGAAAGCAGGUCAUAGUGAUCCGGUGGUUCUGAAUGGAAGGGCCAUCGCUCAACGGAUAAAAGGUACUCCGGGGAUAACAGGCUGAUACCGCCCAAGAGUUCAUAUCGACGGCGGUGUUUGGCACCUCGAUGUCGGCUCAUCACAUCCUGGGGCUGAAGUAGGUCCCAAGGGUAUGGCUGUUCGCCAUUUAAAGUGGUACGCGAGCUGGGUUUAGAACGUCGUGAGACAGUUCGGUCCCUAUCUGCCGUGGGCGCUGGAGAACUGAGGGGGGCUGCUCCUAGUACGAGAGGACCGGAGUGGACGCAUCACUGGUGUUCGGGUUGUCAUGCCAAUGGCACUGCCCGGUAGCUAAAUGCGGAAGAGAUAAGUGCUGAAAGCAUCUAAGCACGAAACUUGCCCCGAGAUGAGUUCUCCCUGACACUUUAAGUGUCCUGAAGGAACGUUGAAGACGACGACGUUGAUAGGCCGGGUGUGUAAGCGCAGCGAUGCGUUGAGCUAACCGGUACUAAUGAACCGUGAGGCUUAACCUUACAACGCCGAAGGUGUUU
rnacentral:rRNA from 1 species